AGGUUGGUGGUUGUCAUUUUUUCCUAAGUGCCUUUGGCUCAUAAUCCUCCAGAACCAUAUUUCUGGAUAAUUCCUAUUGUUACUGUUAUGAUGCCAUGACAAGGUUUACUGAAAUUCUUAACUGGAUAAACAGAAUGUCAACAGCAAAGGGUGAUGAAUUGUAUUGGCAUUGAUGGAACCCUCUUGAAAAUGAUUGAGUUAAAAGCCUUAGAAAUUGUGAGAGUAGCAAAUGUAUCACCAGUACAUGCAUAGAAUCUAUUUUAGGUUGAUUUAUUCAAAGGUAUCAUUAUAUGCAGCUGAACCUCAGGAGAUUGGAAAGAAUGGAAAGGACCCCGUUGUUCAUGGUGGAGUACACACAAUAAUCAUCUACUUGCUUGGAGAUGAUUAGAUGCUACUUUAAAGCUCUGUCUGAUAUGAUGCAUGGGAUACAAUAUGACUUACAAAGGACUAUAAGGAGAGAACUGUAAUUUCAGAUACAGGGGAAUUCAAAGAAGGCUAUUUUUGUGUACAAGUACACUCAAGUAAAAGAUCUGAAGCAUCAAGACUAAAAAGUCAUUGCUGCAAAACUGUAUAGUUUGAGACUGGUAUACACAUACUCAAGGUAAGUAUGGAGUUAAUCAAAAGAGUGGAAAUGCUUCUAGUACAGAGGGAGAAAAAAAAAGUAUUCUUCCAUGUAUUUUUGGUUCUAUAUCAGAUGCCUUUUCAUAUUCUAUUCCAUUCUAUUAAUCCCCUCUCCCCUCUUAAUAAUGUUCUGAUUGUAUUCACAGUUUGGUUGUUGCAGUUUUGCUGUUUAUAAAGCAUUCCACAUGAAAUAACUCACAACAGUUCUACUUAAUACCUAAAGAAUUCCCCCUUAAUUGCAGUAAUUCUUAAUAUUAUCAAAAGUAUGCUAAACACAGCAGGUUAAAACAAGAAAUAAAGGACUACAACUGAUACUGCAUGAAAAAUCUGUGUAGGCAGAAGUAGUCAUCACAGAUGGGAUUCAUUCAGUAUACUGCUGUUAGUUCUACCACCCACAGAAUCUUAUUAUCGUUUCCUACCAAACAGUUCAUUAGCUCUGAAGAAAUCUCUAUUGUUUGUUUCGGCAGAUAGUUGAAGUUACUGUGAUGAUAUAUGGAUAUUAAGUAGUUAAAGGUCAUGCCAAUUAGAAAAAAAUGUUACUUUAAGUUUCUGAAGGUCAUAAUUAAAAGUGUUUUCAUUUGAUGACAACCAGUAUAACUUCUGAUUUGAAGAAACACUUGCAAACUUAUCCUUUAUUACUGAAACUGAAAGUAUUCUUUCUGCAAGGGUAGAGCAUCACGGUGUUGUCCAUUCCCUACUUGUUAGUUUCUUCUUUUGUUCGUUAAGUUAUAGUAGAAAUUUGAGCAAGUGACAUCCUGCCACAGAGGAAGGAUGUGAGCUUCCACCUUUUUGCUGAAGCACAAGCUGACAUUCCUGAUUUGUAUACAGGGCGGAGUUCUGCAUUCUUUUUAUUGCUGUGAGUGUUGACGGUGAUGACAGUUCUUACAGGAGAGACAGUUCUUUGAUCAUGUGUGUCACUCGCUGUGAGGAGGAAACUUGCAUUAAAUUGUUGUAAGGGACUUGACUUAGGAGAGCUGGUAGAGUGAAUGGACAUAAAAAUUCUGAUUCAUCUGCCACUUUCUU